GCAGCAGCCAUCUUGUGGAUAUGAGGGAAGAGCCAAAUAGACUACAAAUCGGUUAACACAGAGAACUAAAAUUGUGGAGCUACUGAAUGAACCAGCUAUGGAAUUGUCUGUGUGUGGGCAUUCAGAUGGACAUACCGGAUAAAAUUCUGGACUGGCAACAGAAGCAUCUUCUGUUCUAAUGAAGUGACUCUUGGUGUGUACCCGGAUAACCUCAUGACUGGAGUUGGUUGGCUGCUAGAAGAACAAAUCAUGUGAUUAGAGUGUUGGAACUUUCAACCUUAGCCCUCAACUUCUGGGGAGGGGAGAAGCGCAAAAGGUAGAGUUGACCACUAAUGGCCAGUGAUUUAACUAAUCAUGCCUAUGUAAUGAAGCAUCC
rnacentral:lncRNA from 1 species